rnacentral:miRNA from 1 species
CUUAUCAGAUUGUCUUUUAAU